rnacentral:rRNA from 1 species
CUAGCUACAGGCUUAACACAUGCAAGUCGAGGGGCAUCAGGAAGAAAGCUUGCUUUCUUUGCUGGCGACCGGCGCACGGGUGAGUAACACGUAUCCAACCUGCCCUUUACUCGGGGAUAGCCUUUCGAAAGAAAGAUUAAUACCCGAUAGCAUAAUGAUUCCGCAUGGUUUCAUUAUUAAAGGAUUCCGGUAAAGGAUGGGGAUGCGUUCCAUUAGGUUGUUGGUGAGGUAACGGCCCACCAAGCCUUCGAUGGAUAGGGGUUCUGAGAGGAAGGUCCCCCACAUUGGAACUGAGACACGGUCCAAACUCCUACGGGAGGCAGCAGUGAGGAAUAUUGGUCAAUGGGCGCUAGCCUGAACCAGCCAAGUAGCGUGAAGGAUGAAGGCUCUAUGGGUCGUAAACUUCUUUUAUAUAAGAAUAAAGUGCAGUAUGUAUACUGUUUUGUAUGUAUUAUAUGAAUAAGGAUCGGCUAACUCCGUGCCAGCAGCCGCGGUAAUACGGAGGAUCCGAGCGUUAUCCGGAUUUAUUGGGUUUAAAGGGAGCGUAGGUGGACUGGUAAGUCAGUUGUGAAAGUUUGCGGCUCAACCGUAAAAUUGCAGUUGAUACUGUCAGUCUUGAGUACAGUAGAGGUGGGCGGAAUUCGUGGUGUAGCGGUGAAAUGCUUAGAUAUCACGAAGAACUCCGAUUGCGAAGGCAGCUCACUGGACUGCAACUGACACUGAUGCUCGAAAGUGUGGGUAUCAAACAGGAUUAGAUACCCUGGUAGUCCACACAGUAAACGAUGAAUACUCGCUGUUUGCGAUAUACAGUAAGCGGCCAAGCGAAAGCAUUAAGUAUUCCACCUGGGGAGUACGCCGGCAACGGUGAAACUCAAAGGAAUUGACGGGGGCCCGCACAAGCGGAGGAACAUGUGGUUUAAUUCGAUGAUACGCGAGGAACCUUACCCGGGCUUAAAUUGCAGUGGAAUGAUGUGGAAACAUGUCAGUGAGCAAUCACCGCUGUGAAGGUGCUGCAUGGUUGUCGUCAGCUCGUGCCGUGAGGUGUCGGCUUAAGUGCCAUAACGAGCGCAACCCUUAUCUUUAGUUACUAACAGGUUAUGCUGAGGACUCUGGAGAGACUGCCGUCGUAAGAUGUGAGGAAGGUGGGGAUGACGUCAAAUCAGCACGGCCCUUACGUCCGGGGCUACACACGUGUUACAAUGGGGGGUACAGAAGGCAGCUAGCGGGUGACCGUAUGCUAAUCCCAAAAGCCUCUCUCAGUUCGGAUCGAAGUCUGCAACCCGACUUCGUGAAGCUGGAUUCGCUAGUAAUCGCGCAUCAGCCACGGCGCGGUGAAUACGUUCCCGGGCCUUGUACACACCGCCCGUCAAGCCAUGGGAGCCGGGGGUACCUGAAGUACGUAACCGCAAGGAUCGUCCUAGGGUAAAACUGGUGACUGGGGCUA